rnacentral:rRNA from 1 species
CAGCUGGCUGCAACUGUUUAAUAAAAACACAGCACUGUGCAAACACGAAAGUGGACGUAUACGGUGUGACGCCUGCCCGGUGCUGGAAGGUUAAUUGAUGGGGUCAGCCGCAAGGCGAAGCUCUUGAUCGAAGCCCCAGUAAACGGCGGCCGUAACUAUAACGGUCCUAAGGUAGCGAAAUUCCUUGUCGGGUAAGUUCCGACCUGCACGAAUGGCGUAAUGAUGGCCAGGCUGUCUCCACCCGAGACUCAGUGAAAUUGAACUCGCUGUGAAGAUGCAGUGUACCCGCGGCAAGACGGAAAGACCCCGUGAACCUUUACUAUAGCUUGACACUGAACAUUGAGCCUUGAUGUGUAGGAUAGGUGGGAGGCAUAGAAGUGUGGACGCCAGUCUGCAUGGAGCCAACCUUGAAAUACCACCCUUUAAUGUUUGAUGUUCUAACUCGGCCCCGUAAUCCGGGGUGAGGACAGUGUCUGGUGGGUAGUUUGACUGGGGCGGUCUCCU